rnacentral:rRNA from 1 species
UCGGGAAUUUUGGGCAAUGGGCGAAAGCCUGACCCAGCAACGCCGCGUGAAGGAUGAAGUAUUUCGGUAUGUAAACUUCGAAAGAAUAGGAAGAAUAAAUGACGGUACUAUUUAUAAGGUCCGGCUAACUACGUGCCAGCAGCCGCGGUAAUACGUAGGGACCAAGCGUUGUUCGGAUUUACUGGGCGUAAAGGGCGCGUAGGCGGCAAUUCAAGUCAUCUGUGAAAUCUCCGGGCUUAACUCGGAACGGUCAGAUGAUACUGCUUUGCUAGAGUGCAGAAGGGGCAAUCGGAAUUCUUGGUGUAGCGGUGAAAUGCGUAGAUAUCAAGAGGAACACCUGAGGUGAAGACGGGUUGCUGGGCUGACACUGACGCUGAGGCGCGAAAGCUAGGGUAGCAAACGGGAUUAGAUACCCUUGUAGUCCCUGAGCGGGCUGGCAAGGCGCAU